rnacentral:siRNA from 1 species
CAUCACUUGGAUCCUGCUUCAGUC